AAACACUGGGACGCCAGAGCACAGGCGUCCCAGAUAGGAGGAAGUGUGUACUCACAUUAGCCAGGAGGAAACAAGCCUGCCUGGGAAGGCAGAAGAUCAGCCCUGGCUGUCACUUGGGCAGGGCGGGCCUCCAAGACACUGCCUACUGGAUCAAGGAAUAUCCAGGAGGUGUUAGAAGG
ensembl:misc_RNA